GCGCCGGUGGUGUACGGCGUAGCAUCGCCGCCCGGAAAGCACAAAUGCGGGUUCGAGUCCCGCCUGGCGCA
rnacentral:tRNA from 1 species